rnacentral:rRNA from 1 species
GAUGAACGCUGGCGGCGUGCCUAAUACAUGCAAGUCGAGCGAACAGACGAGGAGCUUGCUCCUCUGACGUUAGCGGCGGACGGGUGAGUAACACGUGGAUAACCUACCUAUAAGACUGGGAUAACUUCGGGAAACCGGAGCUAAUACCGGAUAAUAUAUUGAACCGCAUGGUUCAAUAGUGAAAGACGGUUUUGCUGUCACUUAUAGAUGGAUCCGCGCCGCAUUAGCUAGUUGGUAAGGUAACGGCUUACCAAGGCGACGAUGCGUAGCCGACCUGAGAGGGUGAUCGGCCACACUGUAACUGAGACACGGUCCAGACUCCUACGGGAGGCAGCAGUAGGGAAUCUUCCGCAAUGGGCGAAAGCCUGACGGAGCAACGCCGCGUGAGUGAUGAAGGUCUUCGGAUCGUAAAACUCUGUUAUUAGGGAAGAACAAAUGUGUAAGUACCUAUGCACGUCUUGACGGUACCUAAUCAGAAAGCCACGGCUAACUACGUG